GUCACAAUGGACCACUGGUUCCAUGAGCCCCCGCUGUGUCACAAGGGUGUGCUUGGUUCCAUGAGGAACCAAAAAGCUCUGCAUAAACAUUGAGCAACAGUUGCUUAACACAGCUGGGAACAUCUGUUUGCAUUCAAAAGGGAGGUUAAAGGUGCCUUUAACCUGCCAGCUAUCUGCUGGGAUCUCAACACAGCAGAGAAGAGGCAGUCCAGGAGGUUCCUAGAGUGUAUGAGGACAACUUCUUGUAACAGCUGGGGAGUGAGCCCACCAGGGGAGGGACUACCCAGACCUGCUGUUCACAAACGGGUGAACUGGAGAAGGGCUGGUGGGACAUGUGGGGGUUGGAGGCCAUCUGGGGUACAGUGACCAUGAAAUUACAGAGUUUUCAGUAUUUAGUGAUAAAAGGAGGGGCAUCAAUACAACUUCCACACUGGAUCUCCAGAGGGCAGACUUUGGCCUAUUAAAGAGACUUAUUUGAGA